UGGGGAAUUUUGGACAAUGGGGGCAACCCUGAUCCAGCGACGCCGCGUGAACGAUGAAGCCCUUCGGGGUGUAAAGUUCUUUCGGCAGGAACGAUAAUGACGGUACCUGAAGAAGAAGCUGCGGCUAACUACGUGCCAGCAGCCGCGGUAAUACGUAGGCAGCAAACGUUGUUCGGAGUUACUGGGCGUAAAGAGUACGUAGGCGGUUUGCCAAGUUUGGUGUGAAAUCUCCUGGCUUAACUGGGAGGGUGCGCCGAAUACUGGCAGACUUGAGUAUUGGAGAGGAAAGCGGAAUUCCUGGUGUAGCGGUGAAAUGCGUAGAUAUCAGGAGGAACACCGGUGGUGUAGACGGCUUUCUGGACAAUCACUGACGCUGAGGUACGAAAGCGUGGGUAGCAAACAGGAUUAGAUACCCUUGUAGUCCCUGAGCGGGCUGGCAAGGCGCAU
rnacentral:rRNA from 1 species